GAUGAACGCUGGCGGCGUGCUUAACACAUGCAAGUCGAACGAAGCAUUUAGGACAGAUUACUUCGGUUUGAAGUUCUUUAUGACUGAGUGGCGGACGGGUGAGUAACGCGUGGGUAACCUGCCUUGUACUGGGGUAUAGCAGCUGGAAACGGCUGGUAAUACCGCAUAAGCGCACAAUGUUGCAUGACAUGGUGUGAAAAACUCCGGUGGUAUAAGAUGGACCCGCGUCUGAUUAGCUAGUUGGUGAGAUAACAGCCCACCAAGGCGACGAUCAGUAGCCGACCUGAGAGGGUGACCGGCCACAUUGGGACUGAGACACGGCCCAGACUCCUACGGGAGGCAGCAGUGGGGAAUAUUGCACAAUGGAGGAAACUCUGAUGCAGCGACGCCGCGUGAGUGAAGAAGUAAUUCGUUAUGUAAAGCUCUAUCAGCAGGGAAGAUAGUGACGGUACCUGACUAAGAAGCUCCGGCUAAAUACGUG
rnacentral:rRNA from 1 species